AUUCCUUUGAAUUGAACGGGGUGAUGAGCUCAUCAAUAGAUAAGUGCUGUUACACGAAUCUGGAAUAACUGCUGUUUACUGUAAUAAAGGCCUAGGAAAAAUGAAGAGAGGCAACGAUGAAGAGGGUGACGAAGAACAAAGAGAUGGAAACACCAGUGAUUUAACUGAGAACGAUGCAUACGAAGAGGU